rnacentral:rRNA from 1 species
AGAGUUUGAUCAUGGCUCAGGACGAACGCUGGCGGCGCGCUUAAUACAUGCAAGUCGAGCGAGAACCAGGGCUUCGGCCCUGGGGACAGCGGCGAACGGGUGAGUAACACGUGGGUAAUCAACCCUCGACACUGGGAUAGCCCGGGGAAACCCGGAUUAAUACCGGAUACCCCGUCCGGCCUUCGGGCCGGCCGGAAAAGGUAGCUUCGGCCUCCGGUCGGGGACGAGCCCGCGGCGGAUUAGCUUGUUGGUGUGGGUAAUGGCCCACCAAGGCGACGAUCCGUAGCUGGUCUGAGAGGACGAUCAGCCACACUGGGACUGAGACACGGCCCAGACUCCUACGGGAGGCAGCAGUAGGGAAUCUUGCGCAAUGGGCGAAAGCCUGACGCAGCGACGCCGCGUGAGGGAAGAAGGCCUUCGGGUUGUAAACCUCUUUCAGGAGGGACGAAGCCACUCGGGUUAAUAGCCCAGAGGGUGACGGUACCUCCAGAAGAAGCCCCGGCUAACUACGUGCCAGCAGCCGCGGUAAUACGUAGGGGGCAAGCGUUGUCCGGAUUUAUUGGGCGUAAAGAGCGUGUAGGCGGCCAAACAGGUCCACUGUGAAAACUCGAGGCUCAACCUCGAGAGGUCGGUGGAAACCGUAUGGCUAGAGUCCGGAAGAGGAGAGUGGAAUUCCCGGUGUAGCGGUGAAAUGCGCAGAUAUCGGGAAGAACACCCGUGGCGAAGGCGGCUCUCUGGGACGGUACUGACGCUGAGACGCGAAAGCGUGGGGAGCGAACAGGAUUAGAUACCCUGGUAGUCC